rnacentral:rRNA from 1 species
AUAAAGCGGAGGUAUUCGGGGAGGACAGGUGGUGCAUGGUUGUCGUCAGCUCGUGUCGUGAGAUGUUGGUUAAGUCCCGCAACGAGCGCAACCCUUAUCUUUAAUUGCCAGCAUUCAGUUGGGCACUUUAAAGAGACUGCCGGUGUUAAACCGGAGGAAGGUGGGGAUGACGUCAAGUCCUCAUGGCCUUUAUGCUUAGGGCUACACACGUGCUACAAUGGGUGGUACAAAGAGAAGCCAACUCGCGAGAGCGCGCCAAUCUCAAAAAGCCAUCCUCAGUUCGGAUUGGAGUCUGCAACUCGACUCCAUGAAGUUGGAAUCGCUAGUAAUCGCGGAUCAGCAUGCCGCGGUGAAUACGUUCCCGGGCCUU